AUGAACGCUGGCGGCGUGCCUCACACCUGCAAGUCGAGCGGCAGCGAGGGGUGCUUGCACCCUGUCGGCGAGCGGCGGACGGCUGAGUAACGCGUGGGAACGUGCCCCAAAGUGAGGAAUAACUGCCCGAAAGGGUAGCUAAUACCGCAUAUUAUCUUCGGAUCAAAGGAUUUAUCCGCUUUGGGAGCGGCUCGCGUCGGAUUAGGUAGUUGGUGAGGUAAUGGCUCACCAAGCCGACGAUCCGUAGCUGGUCUGAGAGGAUGACCAGCCAGACUGGAACUGAGACACGGUCCAGACUCCUACGGGAGGCAGCAGUGAGGAAUCUUCCACAAUGGGCGAAAGCCUGAUGGAGCAACGCCGCGUGCAGGACGAAGGCCUUCGGGUUGUAAACUGCUUUUAUAAGUGAGGAAUAUGACGGUAACUUAUGAAUAAGGAUCGGCUAACUACGUG
rnacentral:rRNA from 1 species